rnacentral:rRNA from 1 species
AAUUAGUGGCAGACGGGUGAGUAAUGCAUAGGAAUCUACCUAGUAGUAUGGGAUAGCCACUAGAAAUGGUGGGUAAUACUGUAUAAUCCCUGCGGGGGAAAGAUUUAUCGCUAUUAGAUGAGCCUAUGUUAGAUUAGCUAGUUGGUAGGGUAAAGGCCUACCAAGGCAGUGAUCUAUAGCUGGUCUGAGAGGAUGAUCAGCCACACUGGAACUGAGAUACGGUCCAGACUCCUACGGGAGGCAGCAGUGGGGAAUAUUGGACAAUGGGCGCAAGCCUGAUCCAGCUAUGCCGCGUGAGUGAGGAAGGCCUUAGGGUUGUAAAACUCUUUCAGUGGGGAAGAUAAUGACGGUACCCACAGAAGAAGUCCCGGCAAACUCCGUGCCAGCAGCCGCGGUAAUACGGAGGGGGCAAGCGUUGUUCGGAAUUAUUGGGCGUAAAGGGCAUGUAGGCGGUUCGGUAAGUUAAAGGUGAAAUGCCAGGGCUUAACCCUGGAGCUGCU